rnacentral:rRNA from 1 species
AUAGUUUAAUUCUAGCUAUCAAUUUAGUACUUUCUUAGGUCUAUAUGCUUAUUUUGUAAAAAUAAUUUAUGUGUAGUAUGAAUAUAUAAUGUACUAUAUGGCAGUAGAUAAAUUUAUUUAUGUGUAAUUACAUGAAAUUGAAAAGGAAUUUAAAUUUGGCCAAUAUUGUGCCAGCCGCAGCGGUUAGACAAUAGAAAUCUAAAUAUAAAAAUUUUAUAAUGAUAAUUUAAACAAUAAGUAAGGUAAAAUUUAGUAUUAAUGAAUUGAUGUUAUCAUAAUAAAGAUCUAAAUUAAAACAAGGAUUAGAUACCCUAUUAUUUAUGUUCAAUAUAUAGAUUGGAGAGUACGAGCUAUAGCUUAAAAACCAAAGAAUAUGGCGGUAUCUUAAUUUAUCAGGGUGGCUUGUAAUUUAAUUUGAUAGUCCACGGUAUUAUAACCUUAUUUUGAAAUAUUCAGCAUGUGUACUGCCGUUUAAUAUAAUUUUAUAAAAUUGUAUAAUAUAUAUAUAUAUAUAUAUAUAUAUAGUCAGGUCGAAGUGCAGUCUAUAGUAAUGGUAUAUAUGAGCUACAUUUAUUUAAACAUUCAUUUUUUUUAGUGAAAUUGAAAAAUAGAAGAACUUGAUAGUAAUUAUAAUUUAUUAAUUAUAAUGAAAAUAUAAGCUAAGAUAUGUACACAUCGCCCGUCGCUC